rnacentral:tRNA from 1 species
GCGUAUGGUUUAGUGGUAAAAUUCUCCGUUCUCCGUUGCCAUUCGAGCAGCGUCGGGGAGCCCAGGGUUCGAUUCCCUGAUUACGCA